rnacentral:lncRNA from 1 species
GUGGAGGUUGAUCCUUCACCACAACUGAGAGGCUCAUCUCUCACCACGACAGACUUGAGGGGUUCUCUGCCAUCUGAUCCUUCACCACAACAGUGGAGGCUGAUCUCUCACCGCAACACAGAGGCUGAUCUCUCAUGAUCUCUCACCACGACACGAGCUUCCUGCCUUCAGAUCCUUCUCUAUGGACCGUUUGCUGACGGACUUCCCUGGGCCUGCUACCUGAGACCUGCUGCUUCCUCCCUGACCUGCACCCUCUCAUUGCCAAGACCGGCCUCGCUGCUCCUGCCCUUCGGCCUCGGACCGUCAGAACGUCGUGCAACGGGACUACUGCCGGAUCCUGAUGAGAGUAAUACAUAACUCCCUGAGUUACACUCAACAUGCUUAUUCCUGUAAGAAAUCUGACUUCAGCCAAAAGUGUUGGUGGCAAGAGAGAACAAUGGUCAUGCAAGGAAUUCUGGAGAGAGAAUGGUAGAAUGGUUACAACGAGCUCACUGGGAGAUCUGAUCCCAGUCACCAGCUGAGAGGACAGAGGAGAACACAACUUGCGCUCCCGAUCCCUUCAGAAGUCUUCCCAGAGCCCUGACGUCCCUUCUGAUCACCCAAAGGCUUCUUUUGCCUACCUCUUCAUUUCCAAUGUGGAAAACCAGUAACGGAGAAUAAUCGGAGGGCUUAACGAGGUGUCGUUAAUCGGAGGCUUAAUGACAACACACCUCCCUGUGGGAUGGAUCUGAGCAGCAUAUCGGGCCCUCGGUUCCCCUCAGAAGGGAGUUCCCUAUGACGACAAGUUUUUUUGUUUUGUUUUGUUCCCCUCCCCCCCCCCCCCCUCCCCCCCCAAGUGACGUAGCAAAAUGGGGAGCAGACUGACUAGCCUUGGGCAACCUCUCCUGCAUGGAUGGACUUUCACCAACAUCCACAGCUCCUACUCCCUCCAGCUUCAGAGCCUCAUACCUGUUUUGUAAGGGCACCUGGGAAGGUGGGACAGGCUGAGGGGCAGUCUGCUUGCUGCCCUGAACAGGGACUUGUUUCCAUCCCUCGCUGUCUUUGAGGUCACUCCUUCCCACCUGACUGUGAGACAGCAGAUGAUCCCCCACUGCUUGAGGAGCAUCUCCCCUGCACCCUUUCUGUAGGGAUGGCAGAGUGCAACUUUACUAGUCAAUCCCCUUCCCACAAUCCCGGAUGCUCCUCCCUUUCUUCCUCCUUCUGCUCUACCACCAGCCUGAGCAGAUCCUCCACCUGCUCACACUGCACACAGGUAGUAUCCUGGCUGCCCUCCUGUACCAGUAACAUGGCCAGGCAUUCUCCGCAACCUGAGACCCGAACUGUGGCAUGGACAUUCAUGCUUUCUGUCUGAGUCUCCACGUUCCUUUUAGCAGCAGCUCACCUCCGUUUGGUGACCAUGGUUGCACCUCGGUGUGUCCAGAGAGCAACGACCUGUUAAGUGACCUGUUAAGUGCUAAGUGCUAAGCCCCCUCCUAUAUGGCAAGGUGCCCUGCCCUGCCCUGCCUGCCCGCUGAUUUGCUCGGGGUUUGCCCUAGAAAUCACUCUUUUCACAGCAAGACAACAACCUGCCUUCCUGCAUAGUCACGCAAAUAGGUGGCUUACUAUUUCACCUCCUCAGAACAGCCCAAGUGAUUCAAACACCCUGACUCCUCCUCUCCAUCCCCAAGGCUUUUUCUAGGCAGGGGGCGUGGAUGCAGAGCCGUUGCCCUGGCAACGCCCACUUCAUGUCAGCCACUCUCCCAAGAGCUGCCAGGCUGCUCUGUUAUCCCGGGGUUCCCUGAAUAAAGGAACCGGCCAAAACACCCCUGUACCUCGUGAUCAGUCACUGUGGUUCUGGCUGGGACAGCUCCGAAGCAGCUAACCUCGGCAAUCAAAUUGAGUUACUAUCUUCACGUACUUCAAAAUUUCUCAGUUUUCUAAAGUCAAGUAUUGAUAGUGAAAUCUCAAAACUGCUUAACCAAUGUUUAUACAGAUUUUUUUUUUCUGAUCAAUCUUGAAUCAUUCUAAAGCAACUUCAAAAUAAUAUAAAGUUAUUAC